GAUGAACGCUGGCGGCGUGCUUAACACAUGCAAGUCGAACGAUGAAGCCCAGCUUGCUGGGUGGAUUAGUGGCGAACGGGUGAGUAACACGUGAGUAACCUGCCCUUAACUCUGGGAUAAGCCUGGGAAACUGGGUCUAAUACCGGAUAGGAGCGUCCACCGCAUGGUGGGUGUUGGAAAGAUUUAUCGGUUUUGGAUGGACUCGCGGCCUAUCAGCUUGUUGGUGAGGUAAUGGCUCAUCAAGGCGACGACGGGUAGCCGGCCUGAGAGGGUGACCGGCCACACUGGGACUGAGACACGGCCCAGACUCCUACGGGAGGCAGCAGUGGGGAAUAUUGCACAAUGGGCGCAAGCCUGAUGCAGCGACGCCGCGUGAGGGAUGACGGCCUUCGGGUUGUAAACCUCUUUCAGUAGGGAAGAAGCGAAAGUGACGGUACCUGCAGAAGAAGCACCGGCUAACUACGUG
rnacentral:rRNA from 1 species